UACAGAGGGUGCGAGCGUUAAUCGGAAUUACUGGGCGUAAAGCGCGCGUAGGCGGCUUUGCAAGUCGGGUGUGGAAUCCCCAGGCUCAACCUGGGAACUGCAUUCGAGACUGCAUUGCUAGAGUAUGGGAGAGGGAAGUGGAAUUUCCGGUGUAGCGGUGAAAUGCGUAGAUAUCGGAAGGAACAUCAGUGGCGAAAGCGACUUCCUGGACCAAUACUGACGCUCAUGUGCGAAAGCGUGGGGAGCAAACAGG
rnacentral:rRNA from 1 species